rnacentral:rRNA from 1 species
CCUACGGGGAGCAGCAGUGAGGAAUAUUGGUCAAUGGACGCAAGUCUGAACCAGCCAUGCCGCGUGCAGGAAGACGGCUCUAUGAGUUGUAAACUGCUUUUGUACGAGGGUAAACGCAGAUACGCGUAUCUGUCUGAAAGUAUCGUACGAAUAAGGAUCGGCUAACUCCGUGCCAGCAGCCGCGGUAAUACGGAGGAUUCAAGCGUUAUCCGGAUUUAUUGGGUUUAAAGGGUGCGUAGGCGGUCGGAUAAGUUAGAGGUGAAAUCCCGAGGCUCAACGUCGGAAUUGCCUCUGAUACUGUUAGGCUAGAGAGUAGUUGCGGUAGGCGGAAUGUAUGGUGUAGCGGUGAAAUGCUUAGAGAUCAUACAGAACACCGAUUGCGAAGGCAGCUUACCAAGCUACGUCUGACGUUGAGGCACGAAAGCGUGGGGAGCAAACAGGAUUAGAUACCCUUGUAGUC